rnacentral:rRNA from 1 species
GACGUAGGGCGCGAGCGUUGUCCGGAUUUAUUGGGCGUAAAGCGCGCGCAGGCGGCCUCGCGCGCCCGACGUGAAAGCCCCCGGCUUAACCGGGGAGGGUCGUUGGGGACGGCGGGGCUUGAGGGCGGGAGAGGGUGGUGGAAUUCCCGGUGUAGUGGUGAAAUGCGUAGAGAUCGGGAGGAACACCCGUGGCGAAGGCGGCCACCUGGGCCGACCCUGACGCUGAGGCGCGAAAGCUAGGGUAGCAAACGGG